rnacentral:rRNA from 1 species
GUCUUGAAACACGGACCAGGGAGUCUAGCAUGUGCGCGAGUCAUUGGGAAAACUAAACCUAAAGGCGCAAUGAAAGUGAAGGUCCGCCUCGCGCGGACCGAGGGAGGAUGGGCGGAUGUCCACCGCAAGAUGGCCCGCCCCGCACUCCCGGGGCGUCUCGUUCUCAUUGCGAGAAGAGGCGCACCAAGAGCGUACACGCUGGGACCCGAAAGAUGGUGAACUAUGCCUGGUCAGGACGAAGUCAGGGGAAACCCUGAUGGAGGUCCGUAGCGAUUCUGACGUGCAAAUCGAUCGUCGGAACUGGGUAUAGGGGCGAAAGACUAAUCGAACCAUCUAGUAGCUGGUUCCCUCCGAAGUUUCCCUCAGGAUAGCUGGCGCUCGUCGCCUACGAGUCUCAUCCGGUAAAGCGAAUGAUUAGAGGCAUUGGGGUCGAAACGGCCUCAACCUAUUCUCAAACUUUAAAUGGGUGAGAUCUCCGGCUUGCUCGAACUAUUGAAGCCGCGAGACACGGAUCAGAGUGCCAAGUGGGCCAUUUUUGGUAAGCAGAACUGGCGCUGUGGGAUGAACCAAACGCCGAGUUAAAGCGCCUAAAUCGACGCUUAUGGGAUACCAUGAAAGGCGUUGGUAACUUAAGACAGCAGGACGGUGGCCAUGGAAGUCGGAAUCCGCUAAGGAGUGUGUU